rnacentral:rRNA from 1 species
AGCCAGACUCCUACGGGAGGCAGCAGUGGGGAAUAUUGCACAAUGGGGGGAACCCUGAUGCAGCGACGCCGCGUGGGUGAAGGAGCACCUCGGUGCGUAAAGCCCUAUCGGCAGGGAAGAAAAGCGAACAGGUUCGCCUGGACGGUACCUGACUAAGAAGCCCCGGCUAACUACGUGCCAGCAGCCGCGGUAAUACGUAGGGGGCAAGCGUUAUCCGGAUUCAAUGGGUGUAAAGGGAGCGUAGACGGCGACGCAAGUCUGGAGUGAAAGCCCGGGGCCCAACCCCGGGACUGCCCUUGGAACUGCAUGGCUGGAGUGCGGGAGGGGCGGGCGGAAUUCCUGGUGUAGCGGUGAAAUGCGUAGAUAUCAGGAGGAACACCGGCGG